GACGAACGCUGGCGGCGCGCUUAACACAUGCAAGUCGAGCGAGAACCGGGACUUCGGUCCCGGGGACAGCGGCGAACGGGUGAGUAACACGUGGGUAAUCUGCCCUCGAUUCUGGGAUAGCCCGGGGAAACCCGGAUUAAUACCGGAUAGCCUUUCGAGCCUUCGGGCGCGAAAGAAAAGGUAGCUUCGGCCUCCGAUCGAGGAUGAGCCCGCGGUGGAUUAGCUUGUUGGCGGGGUAAUGGCCCACCAAGGCGACGAUCCAUAGCUGGUCUGAGAGGACGAUCAGCCACACUGGGACUGAGACACGGCCCAGACUCCUACGGGAGGCAGCAGUGGGGAAUCUUGCGCAAUGGGCGAAAGCCUGACGCAGCGACGCCGCGUGGGGAAGAAGGCCUUAGGGUUGUAAACCUCUUUCAGGUGGGACGAAGCCCACUCGGGUGAAUAGCCCAGAGGGUGACGGUACCGCCAGAAGAAGCCCCGUCUAAC
rnacentral:rRNA from 1 species